ACAGAGAGAGAGAGACAGAGAGAGAGAGAGGACAUUAGCGCAACAUUGUGGCGCAGCAUUUUCACAAAGCUUGAACUCACUGCACUCAGUUAGCACGUCUGAUGAUGACACACACAUUCUUGAACAAGGAAGUCAUUUGCAGUCUUUCUAUUUGUAUUUAUUUUUGGUGUUUGGUGCUUUCAAUGAGGAGCGGACAAGAACAUAAUAAGGAUGACCUGUAUAUAGGGUCAUCAUGUGGAUCAUAAAAAGCUUACGAAAUAUAUGUGCUGUGCUCUUCCCAGCUUCAACUUGAAAGGGAGGCCAAGCUACAGCGCUGUAGCAAACCAGAAGGCCCGUUCCCAUCAAGCCUGCCGAAUAUCUCGACUGAUCUCCCUCGAAGCUGGAAACAAUUUUGGAGGUCUUGGACAGAAAUACUCCUCAGUUAUAUCAGCUGUCCGGGUGGCUGGUCUCAGAUGAUCCCGCAGGUGAAGUGGAGGUCCUGGGCUUUAUACACCGGGUACCAGUACCGAGUCGAUGUCCAGGGGUACGAGGUAAUGGAGGUAGAUAUGUACACAUAGAUAGGGAUAAAGUGACUAGGCAACAGGAUACAUGUGUGCACAAACUUAGAGAGAAAUAAGCUUUUUGUGCGUAUGGAACAUUUCUGGGGUCUUUUAUUUCAGCUCAUGAAACAUGGGACCAACCCUUUACAUGCUGCGUUUACAUAUUUGUUCAGUAUAAUUGGAAUUCCCCAGUAGUCUACUGACUUUUCAGAGUCAUCAUACCUGUAAAUUCCCUGUGUGGGUGACUGGGAGCUCAUGUGUUCACACAAUUACACAAUCUGGAUCUGAAGAACAGUGUUUUAGCCUGUGUAACUGUGAUAUGGCUGAAUGCUCAAACCCAACCCAUCUAGUUUACCGUUUUUGAACGAGGCAUCGACUUACGCAAGAACAGAGAUGCAUUCAUUACGCACCAAACGGAAGAAAACGGACACAAACAGGGUGGCACUACCUGAACUUAACAUUCGUUAUGAAUAUGACCCUGAUUAAGAAGGACAAGCCAUCAUUCUAUACGUUUCAAACUGUCCAGAUUCUACAAGGUUUAUUUUAAGACUCAAAAGACAUUCAACUGAUGUUACAAGAAUGUUCCCAGAACACUUUUCCACUGCGGGGCCGUGCCGUGAAUAUCACAGUUCCUAUUUCAUUUCCACUUGAUUCCUGGAACCGAGUGAGAUAUUCAGCCUCGUUUGAUACCUGGUACUGACCUCUCGAACCAAGUAGUCCAGGUGGGUGGGGUUACAAAUGGCCGUACUCAACGAUUAGUCUCACGCAAAUUACGUCACAGUGUCACGUAUGUUAAUCCUCAUGCACUCGUCACUGGCGUAUUUAUUUUUUUUACAAGAGAAGGCAAAUCUAACAUGAUGACGCCCCAUCAGCGAAGAUCAGCACUGUAAUACAUUGUUUUUUUUCUAGCUAGCUACCAACGUCUUUAGCGAAGCUAGCUGUAGCGGGUGAGAGUGAACACUGUACAAGACAUGAACCAGAGUCGAUAACUUGUCAUAUAAACAUCCAUGGAAGGCCAAUGCCGUGAACAUAGUUACCUGUUUGAUGUUGGCCGGAGUAUCUGACUUAUACAAACAACUCCGAAAGGCUCUUCUGUCAACAUUCUUGCAACAUCAAAGGAAUGCUUUUUGCACCCAGAUACAAUCAAAUCUGAAAGUCAGUUUGAGUGUUUUAGGAACCAAUCUCUUGUCAUAAUCCCACAAUGUUCGCACAACCUAAAGAAAUAUUCUGGGAACCUUUAAGUAACAGAUUAAAUGUGUUCUGGGAACGUUCUUGCAAUAUCAGUUGGGUGUGUUUUGCAUCCUGAAUGGAACAUUAUGGAAUCAUCCGCACAUCUGGACAGUUUUUGUGUUUUGGGAACAAAUCUUUUUGUCCACACAAUGUUCACACCAUAGUGUUCUUCCCCACAGUGAUCAGUUUAUCUGGGCCGGCGAUUUGAUUUAUAUAUUUUUAUUUAAGUCAGUUAAGAACAAAUUCUUAUUUACAAUGACGGCCUACCGGGGAACAGUGGGUUAACUGCCUUGUUCAGGGGCAGAACAGCAGAUUUUUACCAUGUCAGCUCGGGGUUUCGGUUACAUUCGGGUUACUGGCCCAACGCUCUAACCACCAGGCUACCUACCGCGAUGCCUCAGGUCCUCCAACCAAAACAGGUCAGCGAGCUAAGCUUACAUCCGAAAGUUAAUGCCCCCAAUCCAUCGCAGGAGGAGGAGAGAAGGAGGAAGAGGAGCUUAAUUGAACAGUAAGACCAGGUUCACUUCACCUGGAAGGAAUGCAAGGUGUGGGAGAGGGAAGGAGGGAAGGAGGGAAGGAGGGAAGGAGGGAAGGAGAGAGGGGUGAUGUAUCAUGAAAGCCAGUGAGAUGUGAAGUUGUCAAAACAUAUUUAUUUUCAAACAAAGUGAAUAUAAAGUGCGAACACAAAGAUCUUCAAUAGGCAACGGGCACUAAUAGAUCCCACAACUUCAAGAGUCAGGAAAUGGGAUAAGAUAAAUGGUGAGGGGGACAUCUAGAAUUUAAGUCCCUCCAUUGUCCCAGCUCCCUUUUUAAAACGUCUUCUAUUAUUUAGAAAUGUCUUUGAAAUCUGAGCACUUGGCAAAGCAUUAUUGGUUAUAAAGCAACUCUCUGUACUUUACAACUCUUUUCAGGGCCGCAGGUUGGGGAACCCUGGCCUACAGGGAGGAGGUCAGAGACCUAGCAGUGUAGUGCCAGGACAACAACCUCUCCCUCAACGUCGGUAAGACAAAGCUGAUUGUGGAUUACAAGGAACACAGGUGGAGAGCAUCAAGUUCCUUGGUGUUCACAUCACUAAGGUACUAUCAUUGUCCACACACACCAAUGGGUCCUCUGAUCCUCAAACAUUUCUACAGCUGCACCAUAGAGUACCACAGUAUCAGUCAAAUUACCCAGAAAACCUAGCGGUCAAACAGGGAAAUGGUUCUAAUCGCUUUUCCGCCAUUCAUUUUUCCCAUAGGGUUUUUCAGAAGUUCCGUGUAGGCUUACCCUGGCGUGAUGUUUUGAUAAUCAUGUAAAUCUCUCUAGGACAAGGUAACUCCCUGCCACCCAGGACCUCUAUACCAGGCGGUGUCAGAGGAAAGCCCUAAAAAGAUUGUCCAAAGCUCCAGCCACCAAGUCAUACAAUGUUCUCUCUGCUACCACAUGGUAAGCGGUACCAACAUACCAAGUCUGGAACCAACAGGGCCCUUAACAGCUUCUACCCCCCAAGACAUCAGACUGCUAAAUAGUUAGUUAAUUGGUCCGGGUAGCUAUUGGUUAACUAUCUACAAUGACCCUUUUUGCACUAACUCUUUAGACUCAUCGCAUACGUUGCUGUUUACUAUCUAUUAUGUAUCCUGUUGCCUAGUCACUUUAUCACUAUCUAUGUGUACAUAUCUACCUCAAUUACCUCGUACCCCUGCACAUUGACUCGGUACUAGUACCCGGUGUAUAAAGCCAAGUUAUCGUCACGCAUUGUGCAUUUAUUACUUGAGUUAUUAUUUUACUUUUUUUCUCUCUGCAUUGUUGGAAAGGGCCCGUAGGUAAGCAUUUCAUCGUUAGUCUACACCUGUUGUUUACGAAGCAUGUGACAAAUACAAUUUCAUUUUAUUUGAACUUCGUUGUUGAGGAAAAUGUUUUACUUACUACGACUGUGAUAUUUUAAGAUGAAUGCACACAAUGCUGUGAACGAUGCUGUGAACGAUGCUGUGAACAAUGCUGUGAACAAUGCUGUGAACUAAUUUUCCCCAAUCCUCAUUCUCUGGGCCCCUCAUCUCUAAACGAAGAGAUCAAGACAGCUCUACUUUAUCAGGGUGACUGGAAUGUCGCUCUCUUCUGUUUUUGGUGUGUGUCUAACGCAAUGCCAUAUGUCUAACGCAAUGUUAUCCAGGUGGAUAUCAAUAAAGACGGUGUGCUUCAGGUAGAAUCCCCCCACCGUUUCUGAAGCCUAAUCUCUCUAUUGAAGCAGCUGCAUUGAUUUGUGAUUGGUACAAAGGCUGAGUAAACAGCUCGGCCAAUGCCACCCAAGGAAGGACUGGAAGUGACUCCGCAGUCAAGUGCUUUAGUCUCCUUUCGGAUUUGUUUGGAGAAGGGUUUGCUUAUCCAUUCUAUCCAUUCAGACCCUGCUAACUGGCUGCAUCAGUGGAUUAACAGAGUUCUGGAUCUCCUCUGGAUCUUUGUCUGGGCUUUUUGUUUGUGGCCCUGUUAGAAUUCCCCCCCUGUUUUUGUCUCUCUCUGCUGUUGUCAAGCAGAUGUUCUCUCUCUGUGGUCAAGAGACACACACUGAGACACGCACGCUGAGACACACACACUAAGGCAGGCACCCAGCCACGCACGCACCCACCCACACCCACCCACACACCGAGACUGCUUUGAUGGCAAAGUUUCAGCUCAUCAAGGAGGGUAGUGUAGGGGCAGUAAAAACAAAUGGCAGGAGAAAGAGAAAGGUAGAGGAAAGCAGAGGUAGCCACUAAGGACAUGCCACAUUCCUCUCCUGUUUUUGCAGUCUCUUGUAUCCUUUUGUUCUAUGAGAGUGAGCGUU
rnacentral:lncRNA from 13 species